rnacentral:rRNA from 1 species
UACGUAGGGUGCAAGCGUUAAUCGGAAUUACUGGGCGUAAAGCGUGCGCAGGCGGUUUUGUAAGUUUGUCGUGAAAUCCCCGGGCUCAACCUGGGAAUUGCGUUGGAGACUGCAAGGCUAGAAUCUGGCAGAGGGGGGGAGAAUUCCACGUGUAGCAGUGAAAUGCGUAGAGAUGUGGAGGAACACCGAUGGCGAAGGCAGCCCCCUGGGUCAAGAUUGACGCUCAUGCACGAAAGCGUGGGGAGCAAACAGG